UCGGGCUAGUUCUCAAAAAAAAAAACUACUAUCUCCUUUCUGAGCACUACUCACUGAUAUUGUCCCUUGUCUCUCCCUGUGCAUCACGUAACAAAGGAUUGAGUUUCCUCCAAACUACUUGCAGAGGAAAGACUAAAAAAGAAAGACAGAAAGAUGUUAGCUUGCCGAAUCAACUCAGUUUCAGCAGGCUUCUAUUUAGGGACUCGGGUAGCACAAUUUCCCUUUCUUUUGCCAUGUCUCUUUCUGCCAUUUCUACCGCAACCAGCAAUAACCUCUACCCUUCUCUUAGCACCCAGACCAUGCUAGGAACUUCACAGAAGACCUAGAGACAGAAGAACUCCCCAUCUACAUCUGAGAUUCAAUGCAAGUGAAGGAUGAGAGAGGAUAGACAAAGAUGCCAGUAAUGCAAAGAGGAAGGGUGAAAUUCAGACCUGGUAUAAGCAGCUCUAACUGCAUUGAAGUCAACAGAGUUUCACCCACAUUAAAUUUGGCCUGAAGUUUGGAAUAAUGUGAGAGCUUUUCCUGAUCCUGUCUGCACUCUGCAUGAGCUCUCGAUAAACCCCAGCCAUCAGUGAUUAACCUCUCGAUCACCCUUCAAGUGCUGGAGGAUGCCGGUAGAGAAAGGCAAUGCACUUUAUAAUGUGAAAGGAUUUGGUCCGACAUCACUGAAAUGAAGGUGAGAUUUGACUUUGACUUCUGUGAGCUCACCGUCAGACCUUCAGUAAAUCCAGAACAUUGCAAACCUCUGCUGUCGGUGCAAGUAAGACAAUGUAAAUAAAUUUAGGAACAAAACUGAAAUUUCAUCAGCCUUCUGGUUUCUGUCACUUUCCAGUGCUGAUAGCAAUAAGAUGAUCCUGUAUGAUUCCACUACAAGCAUAUGAUGUCAGACUGUAUUCACUGAGAUACAGUAGCAUGAUUGUAAUCAAUGACAUUGUGAAAAAGGCUUCAGGCUUGCCUAAUAAAUGGAUGCAUAUGCUCAUUUGGAUUUAUAAUUUUCCACAUUUUUUUUCAAUUUUAUUCUGUAUUGUUCUCUUAAGAAUCUGUGUACAUAUCUUGCUAGAAGCUGUGUGAGAAAUCUGCAUACUGUGGUAAUACAUAAAUGUUAAGGUUGUAUCUUAUAGUAGUAUAAAUCAAAUUUGUAGUAUAUGAAAAAUACCUGUAAAGAUACAGGCUGACGCUAUUUUCCCAUCCAGCCCAUGCCAAAACAAGCAGUAAUUAUGUGAGCUGAGACUUGAGAA